rnacentral:tRNA from 1 species
ACCGGAGUGUUCCAAGGGCAGGAUCGGCGGCUUUGAACCGCUCGAGUGGGGGUUCGAAUCCCUCCUCCGGUG